rnacentral:rRNA from 1 species
AGUGAACGCUGGCGGUAGGCCUAACACAUGCAAGUCGAACGGCAGCACAGUAAGAGCUUGCUCUUACGGGUGGCGAGUGGCGGACGGGUGAGGAAUACAUCGGAAUCUACUUUUUCGUGGGGGAUAACGUAGGGAAACUUACGCUAAUACCGCAUACGACCUACGGGUGAAAGCAGGGGAUCUUCGGACCUUGCGCGAUUGAAUGAGCCGAUGUCGGAUUAGCUAGUUGGCGGGGUAAAGGCCCACCAAGGCGACGAUCCGUAGCUGGUCUGAGAGGAUGAUCAGCCACAUUGGGACUGAGACAAGGCCCAGACUCCCACGGGAGGAAGCAGUGGGGAAUGUUGGACAAUGGGGGCAACCCUGAUCCAGCCAUGCCGAGUGAGGGAAGAAGGCAUUCGGGUUGUAAACCGCUUGUGUUCGGGAAGAAAUCCUCUGGGCUAAUACCCCGGGGGGAUGACGGGACCGGAAGAAUAAGCACCGGCUAACUACGUG